rnacentral:rRNA from 1 species
GACGAACGCUGGCGGCGUGCCUAAUACAUGCAAGUAGAACGCUGAAGAGAGGAGCUUGCUCUUCUUGGAUGAGUUGCGAACGGGUGAGUAACGCGUAGGUAACCUGCCUUGUAGCGGGGGAUAACUAUUGGAAACGAUAGCUAAUACCGCAUAACAAUGGAUGACACAUGUCAUUUAUUUGAAAGGGGCAAUUGCUCCACUACAAGAUGGACCUGCGUUGUAUUAGCUAGUAGGUGAGGUAAUGGCUCACCUAGGCGACGAUACAUAGCCGACCUGAGAGGGUGAUCGGCCACACUGGGACUGAGACACGGCCCAGACUCCUACGGGAGGCAGCAGGAGGGAAUCUUCGGCAAUGGGGGCAACCCUGACCGAGCAACGCCGCGGGAGUGAAGAAGGUUUUCGGAUCGUAAAGCUCGGUUGUAAGUCAAGAACGGGUGUGAGAGUGGAAAGUUCACACUGUGACGGUAGCUUACCAGAAAGGGACGGCUAACUACGUG